AACGACUCUCGGCAACGGAUAUCUCGGCUCACGCAUCGAUGAAGAACGCAGCAAAAUGCGAUACUUGGUGUGAAUUGCAGAAUCCCGUGAACCAUCGAGUUUUUGAACGCAAGUUGCGCCCGAAGCCAUCCGGCCGAGGGCACGUCUGCCUGGGCGUCACAC
rnacentral:rRNA from 1 species